GAUGAACGCUGGCGGCGUGCUUAACACAUGCAAGUCGAACGAAGCCGAACAGACAAUCCCUUCGGGGUGCGUCUGUGGACGCUUAGUGGCGGACGGGUGAGUAACGCGUGAGUAACCUGCCUCAGAGAGGGGGAUAACACACCGAAAGGUGUGCUAAUACCGCAUGACAUGUACGAAUCGCAUGGUUUGUACAUCAAAGGAGCAAUCCGCUCUGAGAUGGACUCGCGUCUGAUUAGAUAGUUGGUGAGGUAACGGCUCACCAAGUCGACGAUCAGUAGCCGAACUGAGAGGUUGAUCGGCCACAUUGGGACUGAGACACGGCCCAG
rnacentral:rRNA from 1 species